CACGUAGGGGGCAAGCGUUGUCCGGAAUCAUUGGGCGUAAAGCGCGUGUAGGCGGCCCGAUAAGUCCGCUGUGAAAGUCCAGGGCUCAACCCUGGGAUGCCGGUGGAUACUGUCGGGCUCGAGUCCGGAAGAGGAGAGUGGAAUUCCUGGUGUAGCGGUGAAAUGCGCAGAUAUCAGGAAGAACACCAAUGGCGAAAGCAGCUCUCUGGGACGGUACUGACGCUGAGACGCGAAAGCGUGGGGAGCGAACAGG
rnacentral:rRNA from 1 species